ensembl:snRNA U6 U6 spliceosomal RNA
AUGCUCACUUCAGGAGCACAUAUCCUGAAAUUGGAAUGAUACAGAAAAGGUUAGCAUGGCCUCUACGCAAGGAUGACAUAAAAAUUCAUGAAAAUGAAUUUAAAAAU